UACGUAGGGGGCGAGCGUUGUCCGGAUUUAUUGGGCGUAAAGAGCGUGUAGGCGGUUCGGUAAGUCUGUCGUGAAAUCCUGAGGCUCAACCUCGGGCGUGCGGUGGAUACUGCCGGGCUAGAGGAUGGUAGAGGCGAGUGGAAUUCCCGGUGUAGCGGUGAAAUGCGCAGAUAUCGGGAGGAACAUCAGUGGCGAAGGCGGCCCUCUGGUCCAGUACUGACACUCAAGUGCGAAAGCGUGGGGAGCAAACAGG
rnacentral:rRNA from 1 species